GACGAACGCUGGCGGCGUGCUUAACACAUGCAAGUCGAACGGCAAGGCCCUGCUUUUGUUGGGUGCUCGAGUGGCGAACGGGUGAGUAACACGUGAGUAACCUGCCCUUUACUUUGGGAUAACUUCAGGAAACUGGUGCUAAUACCGGAUAGGAGCUCCUGCUGCAUGGUGGGGGUUGGAAAGUUUCGGCGGUUGGGGAUGGACUCGCGGCUUAUCAGCUUGUUGGUGGGGUAGUGGCUUACCAAGGCUUUGACGGUUAGCCGGCCUGAGAGGGUGACCGGCGACAAGGGGACUGAGAUACGGCGCAGACGCCUACGGGAGGCAGCAGUGGGGAAUAUUGCACAAUGGGCGGAAGUCUGAGGCAGCAACGCCGCGUGCGGGAAGAAGGCCUUCGGGGUGUAAACAGCUUUCGCCUGUGACGAAGCGUGAGUGACGGUAAUGGGUAAAGAAGCACCGGCUAACUACGUG
rnacentral:rRNA from 1 species